GAGGGCAUAGCUCAGUGGUAGAGUGUGUUCUUAGAAUGUGCAAGGUCCUGGGUUCAAUCCCUAGUACUUCCA
rnacentral:tRNA from 1 species